rnacentral:rRNA from 1 species
UUGCUGACCUCCUCGGAGGUAUGUGCACACCUGCCAUUGUUUCAUUCAAUCCACUCCCACCUGUGCACUCUCUGUAGGCCAAACCAUCAAUCUUUCAGGCUCUUCUAAGGGCCUGGCGUGAGGAACUGCUCCGGCUUUCCUUGGAUGGGUGUGGUCUACGUUUUUAUCAACACUGCAUGUAAUCGAAUGUCUGUUCUGGGCUCUAUAUGACCCAUAAAACCUUAUACAACUUUCAACAACGGAUCUCUUGGCUCUCGCAUCGAUGAAGAACGCAGCGAAAUGCGAUAAGUAAUGUGAAUUGCAGAAUUCAGUGAAUCAUCGAAUCUUUGAACGCACCUUGCGCUCCUUGGCAUUCCGAGGAGCAUGCCUGUUUGAGUGUCAUUAAAUUCUCAACCUUACAUCCCUUGUGGUGUGAAGGUUGGAUAUGGGAGCUGCUGGCCUUUUGGGUCAGCUCUUCUGAAAUCUAUUAGCAGGGCCUUUGUAUGCAAAACUGCAGCUUGGUAAUGAUGGGAUGUC